GACGAACGCUGGCGGCGUGCUUAACACAUGCAAGUCGAACGGAAAGGCCCUGCUUUUGUGGGGUGCUCGAGUGGCGAACGGGUGAGUAACACGUGAGUAACCUGCCCUUGACUUUGGGAUAACUUCAGGAAACUGGGGCUAAUACCGGAUAGGAGCUCCUGCUGCAUGGUGGGGGUUGGAAAGUUUCGGCGGUUGGGGAUGGACUCGCGGCUUAUCAGCUUGUUGGUGGGGUAGUGGCUUACCAAGGCUUUGACGGGUAGCCGGCCUGGGAGGGUGACCGGCCACAUGGGGCCUGAGAUACGGCCCAGACUCCUACGGGAGGCAGCAGUGGGGAAUAUUGCACAAUGGGCGGAAGCCUGAUGCAGCAACGCCGCGUGCGGGAUGACGGCCUUCGGGUUGUAAACCGCUUUCGCCUGUGACGAAGCGUGAGUGACGGUAAUGGGUAAAGAAGCACCGGCUAACUACGUG
rnacentral:rRNA from 1 species